UACGUAGGGUGCAAGCGUUAAUCGGAAUUACUGGGCGUAAAGCGUGCGCAGGCGGUUUUGCAAGACAGAUGUGAAAUCCCAGGGCUCAACCUGGGAACUGCAUUUGAAACUGCAAGGCUGGAGUGCGGCAGAGGGGGAUGGAAUUCCGCGUGUAGCGGUGAAAUGCGUAGAUAUGCGGAGGAACACCGAUGGCGAAGGCAAUCCCCUGGGCCUGUACUGACGCUGAUGCACGAAAGCGUGGGGAGCAAACAGG
rnacentral:rRNA from 1 species